GUUCAAGCAAUUCUCCUGCCUCAGCCUCCUAAGUAGCUGGGAUGACAGGCACGCGCCACCACGCCUGGCUAAUUUUUGUAUUUUUAGUAGAGACGGGGUUUCACCAUGUUGGCCAGUCUGGUCUCCAACUCCUGACCUCGAAUGAUCCACACACCUUGGCCUCCCAAAGUGCUGGGAUUACAGGUGUGGGCCACCGCACCCGGCCUCUCAGUGUUUUUGUCUGUUUGAGGCAUGGUCUCACUGUCACCCAGGCUGGAGUGCAGUAGCACAAUCAUGGCUCUGCAGCCUUGACCUCCCUGGCUCAACAAUUCUCCUGAAGAGCUGGGACUACAGGCAUGCCCCACCACGCCCAGCUAGUUUUUAAACUUUGUAGAAACAGGGUCUCACUAUGUUGCCCUGACUUGUCUUGAACUCCUGGCCUCAAACAAUCAUCCCACCUUGGCCUCCCAGAGUGUUGGGAUUAUGGGCAUGAGCCACCAUGCCUGGCCCUCUCUCCCCAGUUUGAGGCCAACCCUUCACAACCUCCACCACUCACACAUUCUGCCUAUGAAUGAGCUGCUAUUUUAUUAGCAGGAAGACUCAGAGCUAGAUUGACUGGGUCAACUCCCAGCUCUUUCACUUCCCAGCUGGGAAACCUUAGCUAAUUGAUUUCACUUCUUGAGCCUCAGUUUCCUCAUCUGUGAAAUGAGGAUAAUAAAGUCAUGCCUGAUUCACAGAGUUAUUGGGAGGUACUUAGAUGAAGCAUUCCCAGUGCCUGACGCUGUUCCUCAUGGCACACGGGAGAGUAGCUGUUGCUAUCCUUAUAGACAACCUGGCUGUUUCUCACCGGGCAUUUUCUCUGCUGACCAGAGCCACUUAGCUGGCCCCAGGGCCUUUCUCUCCCUCUCACAUCUCAUCUUUCCCCCAGUCUCUGUCUUGGUAUUGCCUGGAAGGGCAGCCUAAUGUCUGGGCCCCUUCCCAUCCGCUGAGCAAUCCUGAGAGCUGGGUUGGGGUGUAUGGGUCUCCAGUCCUGUCUCUGAAUGGCUUGUGUAGCUAGUCCAGCUAGAGGCCUGGAUCCUGAGCAGAUGAAGGAGGGGGAAGGAGCGUGGGGGAUCUAGGCACAGCAUGGCUGGGAAGGAGGGCGGGCCCCCAGCAGGCACGAGAACCGACCUGGAGCACUCCUGUUUGUAGAUGUCGAUGAUGUUCUCCACCAGCAGGUUCCUCUGCAGGCCGUACACUCCGUGACGAUCCAUGAUCACCUCGUGGCGGCAGGUGGGGCAGCGGAAACGGCCUCCAGACAUGGACACUGAGCUGCCCCGGCUGGUCCAGUAGGGAUUUGCAGCCUGCAGGUGGCAAAGGUCAAGAUCCCGCACUUGAUGGAUCAGCUGACACCACCCAGGCCAGUAAUCUGACUCAACCAGUUCUGCGAUCUUAUCCAGGAACUGAGGACAGCAAGAAAACUUGACUUUGACCCCCUCUAUGAUUCCAUCUCCAACCUGACCAAUCAGCACUCCCCACUUCCGGAGCCCCUACUCACCAAAUUAUCUUUAAAAACUCCGAUCCCCGAAUGCUUGGGGAGACUGAUAUGAGUAACAAUAAAACUCCAGCC
rnacentral:lncRNA from 10 species